rnacentral:tmRNA from 2 species
GGGGGCGACAUGGCUUCGACGUGGGUAUUGAAACUUUGAGUGCAUGCCGAGGGACAGAUCACCUCGUAAAACCAGCUGUAAACCUUAUAGUUGCCAACGAAGACAACUACGCAUUAGCUGCCUAAAAAACAGUUUUAAUGCCAUCGGCCCGGUACGUGUCUGUGCGUUCGGCCCCCGGUGUUAUCUACACAGAAUCGCGUAAAGGUAUGUUUGGGGCCUGAUCGUUAAACUCUUACUAAACUGGCUUCAGGUUUUCCCUGUCCGUUGGGUAGCCCGAAGUAAGACUAAAGACGGAAUAAGCAUGUAGAGCUUGGGGCGGAUAACUUGCGGACGCCGGUUCGAUUCCGGCCGCCUCCACCA